CCUACGGGUGGCAGCAGUGGGGGAUAUUGCACAAUGGGGGAAACCCUGAUGCAGCGACGCCGCGUGGGUGAAGAAGCGCCUCGGCGCGUAAAGCCCUGUCAGCAGGGAAGAAAAUGACGGUACCUGAAGAAUAAGCCCCGGCUAACUACGUGCCAGCACCCGCGGUAAUACGUAGGGGGCCAGCGUUAUCCGGAUUUACUGGGUGUAAAGGGGGCGCAGACGGGUGUGCAAGCCCGGUGUGAAAGCCCGGGGCCCAACCCCGGGAAUGCAGUUGGUACUGCGUGGCUAGAGUGCAGGAGGGGUAGGCGGAAUUCGUGGUGUAGCGGUGAAAUGCGUAGAUAUCAGGAGGAACACCGGUGGGGAAGGCGGCCUGCUGGACUGCAACUGACGUUGAGGCCCGAAAGCGUGGGGAGCAAACAGGAUUAGAUACCCGAGUAGUC
rnacentral:rRNA from 1 species